AUCCAGAUGACGAGUCUCAAAUAGGAUGAAACUUGCGUCCUGGAU
rfam:Schistosoma curassoni strain Dakar, Senegal genome assembly, scaffold: SCTD_scaffold0002728